UAAACAAGGUCACUUCAUGAGCAAUACACAGAACGGCUAACUGACUCAGCCCCUCUUCCUAGCCACCACCUUUCUGUCAGUUGGGAAGAUUAAGUGGUGGCAGAACAAGUCACAAGUGAGAUGAUAAAACCAGAGAUUAAACAACUGCCCUGAGGGACAGACAGCUGCUUGGAAGGCGUGGAUUAGAAGACACCAGCCAGCCACUGCUACUAUCCCUACUGCUCUCCAACACACUUUCUUCAGGCCAAACUUAUUCUAAUUAGAGGAUGCCUCAGCAGAACAAGGAAGCCUUUGGCACUGAAUUUCCACCUUGGCAAGAAACCAGAGUAAGAAACCAGGGGCCCUCCUCAGCCCAUGCGGACCAAGCCCAUCCAAAGCAAACAGUUCCCAUAACUGUUGACGGUAGAACAAGCUUCUUCCUUUAAACAGGACGACUGUGGAAAAUCACCCAGCCAGACAUUGCUUGUUAUUUUAACACUUCUGAAAUUGAGGGAGGAGGCCAUCCUAGCCAAGAGAUCCAGCCCUAUUCAAGUGGGAAAUGCACAAAUUGGGAGGCGCAUCAAAUGUCCGAUCAGAAGCUGUAAAGAUUUCACUGUUUCUCUAAAAGCACGCUUUUAUAUAAUUACUUAAACAGUGACUAUGUUUCAUACCUCCGCCUAAACAGUACCUCCUGGCCCAGCUUUGAAAUUCUUCCUGCUUUUCUGUGACACUGUCCAGAGGAAUUUCGUAAUUUGCCUGUGUUCCUCUGGUCUGAUAUUGGCAAGACCAUGGAAAGACGUUGGUGAGUUGCCUCCCAGUCAUCGGCUUCCGCUGCUGGAUUAUUCUAGCUUUCUAGUUAUAAAUAAGGACGAUUACGUUAUCACUGAAAUACUCUGAGACAACCAGUAAUGUAUGCUAAAUUAUUGAAGAAAUUAUUUGCAAGUAUGUACAGGCCCAAGGACGAAAUUUGGUGAGCUAAAUCAAGGCAUCUGGAUGAUAAGCAGGUUAGUUGACAGUUUUCUAAACCAAGGUCAGUGUAAGAACUAUGGCGUAGGCCAGUACAUGAGUGAUUUGAAUGAAGCUACGUGGAUUUGAACUGUUCUCUUUCUUCCAGUUUCCCAGCUGUCAGGCUUCCCUGAUAAAGCUUGCUUGAGCCUUUACUGCUUUAAAUUCUGAAAUGACUAGGCCAAUUAAAAUAAUAGAUGGUAUUAAAUGUAUUGGGAAUAGCAAAACAAUGUUCAAUUCUUAUUGGUAAUGGAACUUAUUCUAGAAAUGGAAAGGAAAGAGAAAAAUCACCCACUUAAAUCUCCAUGUUGCAACACUAAUAAAAGGAGGUAGGAGGGAGGCAGCCUGGCACAGCAAUCUUUAACAGGACCUUACUUAACUUACGUUUAAAAUAAAGUAGGUAUUCAUUCAGAUGACUUACAGGGGCUAAUUCAUGGUUAUCCAAGAUCUGACAACUAGUGAUCCAGGAAAAAGGAAUGGUCAUGAGAACCCUGGCUUUACCCUUGCUUGUGUGCGGCUAACAAGGAGAAGUGGGCAUCAUCUGCCUCUCUUUACCCUGAAGUGAAUGGGUGACAGUGGACAUCACUUCUGCUGUCAGACUGGCGAAUGUGCUGGCAUGUGCCAGUGGCAGCUGCACGUGCCUCCAGAAAACUCUCCCUCUCUCCACAGAUCAGCUUUUGUAUUCCUAAUCCUGGGAAUCAGGGUGGCAUGUAUGGAACUACAACCUCUGCUCUAUCAGUCUGGGAAAUAAACAGCACUAAUUCCAGGCCCAGAGCUAA